GGGGGUGUAGCUCAGUGGUAGAGCGCGCGCUUAGCAUGUGUGAGGCCCCGGGUUCGAUUCUCGGCAUCUCCA